UGAGGGUCGCCAGCGGCUUCGACCGUUGGAGGAAAGUCCGAGCUCCACAGGGCAGGGUGCCGGGUAACGCCCGGGCGUCGUAAGGCGACGGAAAGUGCAACAGAGAAUAGACCGCCGAUGGCCGCGCGAGCGGCACAGGUAAGGGUGAAACGGUGCGGUAAGAGCGCACCGGGCUCCUGGUAACAGCGAGUCGCUGGUAAACCCCACCCGUAGCAAGGCCAAAUAGGGAACGAGGAGUUGCCCGCUCCGCUCGAGUUCCGGGUAGGCUGCACGAGGCUGCCGGUAACGGCGGUCCUAGAUGAAUGAUCCUCCCCCGCAAGGGGACAGAACUCGGCUUAUUCC
rnacentral:RNase_P_RNA from 1 species